rnacentral:misc_RNA from 1 species
AUAGAUAUAUCAGUACCUAAAACUUAAGGGAUAGAAGUCAUGGAAUAAAGGGGAAAUAAUGACCCUAUAUCAACCAAAGACAAAUUUCAUUCUUCAUUAAGAUUAUAUAUGCAGGACAAAAUUUCUAAAACUUACACUAGUUAGCAAUUUUUCUUUACUAGAGCCCCUUGACAAACUAUUAAAAAACCAUACAACAACAACAACAACAACUAGGCCUUAAUCUCAAACUAAUUGGGUCAGCUAUAUGGAUAUUUUUUGUCGUUCAGCUCUGUUGGACACCAAAUCCACAUCAACAUCCAAAGCCUAUCAUAUAAUCAAUAGUUAAAAAUAAUUCAUCUUGAUACAUACAAGUAGGAAAAACAAAAAUGAAUUGUCAUAGAAGACAAUCAUAUGCUAACCUAUAAUAUAGCCAGCAAUUUAGAAUGUAAGAAAUUAGAGGGAAUAAAAAGGUUAUAGUUUAGCAGCUAAAUAAAUUGUAUCUAAUAACCUGUAAUCCAUAAUUUCCAAUAUCCCAUACUUGACGAAAGAAAGACUUCAUUACUCAACUCUCCCUAAUAGAAACAUUGGUCUCAUAUAAAAAGAAAAUAACACAAAUACUAACCUCGCCUCUUCUCCCCUCAUCAAGCACAUAUAGUAUUAUCAACAGUAAUUAAAAAAAAAAAGCAAACAAA